rnacentral:rRNA from 1 species
AUCCGGAGGGUGCAAGCGUUACUCGGAAUCACUGGGCGUAAAGCGCGCGCAGGCGGCUUGAUAAGUUGGAUGUGAAAGCCUACGGCUCAACCGUAGAACUGCAUCCAAAACUGUCAGGCUAGAGUGUGGGAGAGGAAGAUGGAAUUAGUUGUGUAGGGGUAAAAUCCGUAGAGAUAACUAGGAAUACCAAAAGCGAAGGCAAUCUUCUGGAACACUACUGACGCUGAGGCGCGAAGGCGUGGGGAGCAAACAGGAUUAGAAACCCUAGUAGUCC